rnacentral:tRNA from 1 species
GUCGCAGUAGUGUAGCUGGGAACACGCUGCCCCGCCAAGGCAGCGACAGGGGUUCAAGUCCCCUCUGCGACUCCA